rnacentral:snRNA from 1 species
UCGUUUUGGCAGCAGAUAUACCAGAAUUGGAGGAUACAGGGAUUAGCAUGGCCCCUACGAAAGGAUGACACGCAAAUUCGUGAAGCGUUCCAUAUUUUU